rnacentral:rRNA from 1 species
AUCCCGACUUACCAACCCGAUGCAAACUACGAAUACCGAAGAAUGUUAUCACGGGAGACACACGGCGGGUGCUAACGUCCGUCGUGAAGAGGGAAACAACCCAGACCGCCAGCUAAGGUCCCAAAGUCAUGGUUAAGUGGGAAACGAUGUGGGAAGGCACAGACAGCCAGGAUGUUGGCUUAGAAGCAGCCAUCAUUUAAAGAAAGCGUAAUAGCUCACUGGUCGAGUCGGCCUGCGCGGAAGAUGUAACGGGGCUAAACCAUGCACCGAAGCUGCGGCAGCGACACUAUGUGUUGUUGGGUAGGGGAGCGUUCUGUAAGCCUGCGAAGGUGUGCUGUGAGGCAUGCUGGAGGUAUCAGAAGUGCGAAUGCUGACAUAAGUAACGAUAAAGCGGGUGAAAAGCCCGCUCGCCGGAAGACCAAGGGUUCCUGUCCAACGUUAAUCGGGGCAGGGUGAGUCGACCCCUAAGGCGAGGCCGAAAGGCGUAGUCGAUGGGAAACAGGUUAAUAUUCCUGUACUUGGUGUUACUGCGAAGGGGGGACGGAGAAGGCUAUGUUAGCCGGGCGACGGUUGUC